rnacentral:rRNA from 1 species
CCUACGGGAGGCAGCAGUGAGGAAUAUUGGUCAAUGGCCGUAAGGCUGAACCAGCCAAGUCGCGUGAAGGAAGAAGGAUCUAUGGUUUGUAAACUUCUUUUAUAGGGGAAUAAAGGUAUCCACGUGUGGAUCUUUGCAUGUACCCUAUGAAUAAGCAUCGGCUAACUCCGUGCCAGCAGCCGCGGUAAUACGGAGGAUGUGAGCGUUAUCCGGAUUUAUUGGGUUUAAAGGGUGCGUAGGUUGUUUUUUAAGUCAGCGGUGAAAGUUUGUGGCUCAACCAUAAAAUUGCCGUUGAAACUGGAAGACUUGAGUGUGUUUGAGGUAGGCGGAAUGCGUGGUGUAGCGGUGAAAUGCAUAGAUAUCACGCAGAACUCCGAUGGCGAAGGCAGCUUACUAAGCCAUAACUGACACUGAAGCACGAAAGCGUGGGGAUCAAACAGGAUUAGAUACCCUGGUAGUC